rnacentral:rRNA from 1 species
UACGAAGGGGGCUAGCGUUGCUCGGAAUCACUGGGCGUAAAGGGCGCGUAGGCGGAUCUUUAAGUCGGGGGUGAAAGCCUGAGGCUCAACCUCAGAAUUGCCUUCGAUACUGGAGAUCUUGAGACCGGAAGAGGUAAGUGGAACUGCGAGUGUAGAGGUGAAAUUCGUAGAUAUUAGGAAGAACACCAGUGGCGAAGGCGACUUCCUGGCCUGUUCUUGACGCUGAGGCGCGAAAGCUAGGGGAGCAAACGGG